GGCUGGUUAGCUCAGCUGGUCAGAGCGUGGUGCUAAUAUCGCUGAGGUCAUGGGUUCAAUUCCCAUACUGGUCU
rnacentral:tRNA from 1 species